UAUAUACUCCUCCGUCCAACAAAGAAUGUCUCAACUUUGACUAAAUUUAAAUACAUUUAUAUACUAAGUCAUGUCUAGAUACAUUCAAAUUUUGACAAACUUGAGACAUCUUUUGUUGGACGGAGGGAGUAUAUA
rfam:Brachypodium distachyon strain Bd21 chromosome 2, whole genome shotgun sequence.